rnacentral:lncRNA from 1 species
GCAAUCGAGGAUUCUCCUCAUUCGCCAAUAAAAUGUGAAAGGCUCUAGAUUAGUAGAUUCAGAGAGAGAGAGAGAGAGAGAGAGAGAGAGAGUGUGUGUGUGUGUGUUUUCUGCUUUACCCUCAAAAUCAGGCGGUGCUCAACGAGCGUUCGCGAGAGAGAAAGGGGGUGAGAGGCCUUUUUUGUGGGAGAAUUAUUACGUUAGCCUAGUCAAUGAC